rnacentral:rRNA from 1 species
GAUGAACGCUAGCGGCAGGCUUAACACAUGCAAGUCGAGGGGUAGAGGAAGCUUGCUUCCUUGAGACCGGCGCACGGGUGCGUAACGCGUAUACAAUCUACCUUUUACAGAGGGAUAGCCCCAGAGAAAUUUGGAUUAAUACCUCAUAGUAUUUUCGGAUCGCAUGAUUUGAUUAUUAAAGUUCCAACGGUAAAGAUGAGUAUGCGUCCAUUAGCUAGAUGGUAAGGUAACGGCUUACCAUGGCAAUGAUGGGUAGGGGUCCUGAGAGGGAGAUCCCCCACACUGGUACUGAGACACGGACCAGACUCCUACGGGAGGCAGCAGUGAGGAAUAUUGGGAACAAUGGGCGCAAGCCUGAUCCAGCCAUGCCGCGUGCAGGAAUAAGGUCCUAGUGGAUUGUAAACUGCUUUAUACAGGAAGAACACACCCUCGUGAGGGUACUUGACGGUACUGUAAUG